GGGUUGCUAACUCAAUGGUAGAGUACUCGGCUUUUAAGUGCGACUAUGAUCUUUUACACAUUUGGAUGAAGCAACAAAUUCGUCCAGACUCUUGGUAGAGUCUAGAAGACCACGACUGAUCCUCAAGGGUCCGGGUUCGAGUCCCGGGCAACCCA